rnacentral:rRNA from 1 species
AUUGAACGCUGGCGGCAGGCUUAACACAUGCAAGUCGAGCGGAGAUGAGGUGCUUGCACCUUAUCUUAGCGGCGGACGGGUGAGUAAUGCUUAGGAAUCUGCCAUUUAGUGGGGGACAACAUUCCGAAAGGAAUGCUAAUACCGCAUACGUCCUACGGGAGAAAGCAGGGGAUCUUCGGACCUUGCGCUAAAUGAUGAGCCUAAGUCGGAUUAGCUAGGUGGUGGGGUAAAGGCCUACCAAGGCGACGAUCUGUAGCGGGUCUGAGAGGAUGAUCCGCCACACUGGGACUGAGACACGGCCCAGACUCCUACGGGAGGCAGCAGUGGGGAAUAUUGGACAAUGGGGGGAACCCUGAUCCGGCCAUGCCGCGUGUGUGAAGAAGGCCUUAUGGUUGUAAAGCACUUUAAGCGAGGAGGAGGCUUCUUUGGUUAAUACCCAAAGUAAGUGGACGUUACUCGCAGAAUAAGCACCGGCUAACUCUGUGCCAGCCGCCGCCGUAACAC